rnacentral:rRNA from 1 species
UAGGCCUACGGGGGGCAGCAGUGGGGGAUAUUGCACAAUGGGGGAAACCCUGAUGCAGCGACGCCGCGUGAGUGAAGAAGUAUUUCGGUACGUAAAGCUCUAUCAGCAGGGAAGAAAAAUGACGGUACCUGACUAAGAAGCCCCGGCUAACUACGAGCCAGCAGCCGCGGUAAUACGUAGGGGGCAAGCGUUAUCCGGAUUUACUGGGUGUAAAGGGAGCGUAGGUGGCAGGGCAAGUCAGAUGUGAAAACCCGGGGCUCAACUCCGGGAGUGCAUUUGAAACUGUCCAGCUAGAGUGCAGGAGG